CCUACGGGAGGCUGCAGUGGGGAAUAUUGGACAAUGGGGGCAACCCUGAUCCAGCCAUGCCGCGUGUGUGAAGAAGGCCCUCGGGUUGUAAAGCACUUUCAGUGAGGAAGAACGCCUGGUGGUUAAUACCCAUCAGGAAAGACAUCACUCACAGAAGAAGCACCGGCUAACUCCGUGCCAGCAGCCGCGGUAAUACGGAGGGUGCGAGCGUUAAUCGGAAUUACUGGUCGUAAAGCGCGCGUAGGUGGCUUGAUAAGCCGGUUGUGAAAGCCCCGGGCUCAACCUGGGAACGGCAUCCGGAACUGUCAAGCUAGAGUGCAGGAGAGGAAGGUAGAAUUCCCGGUGUAGCGGUGAAAUGCGUAGAGAUCGGGAGGAAUACCAGUGGCGAAGGCGGCCUUCUGGACUGACACUGACACUGAGGUGCGAAAGCGUGGGUAGCAAACAGGAUUAGAUACCCUGGUAGUC
rnacentral:rRNA from 1 species